UGGAACUGUAGCUCAGUUGGUAGAGCGGUUGCCUGAAGAGCAGCGCGUCAGCGGUUCAAAUCCGUUCAGUUCCACCAA
rnacentral:tRNA from 1 species